rnacentral:rRNA from 1 species
AUGAGUAGAACAAUAAUAGUGCGGGUUCCAGAAAUAUUGAAACAUACUGUCAUGUCCAGAAAGAUAUUAAAGCCCAUUUCUGAUCCUUCUUUUGCUUGUAUCAUGGACAAUAAUGAGUUAGGCUGCAAGCAAAACGACGCUCUUCAAGAGCUCGAGAUGCUGACAGUGAAUGCCAAGGAAGCCCAACAGCUUAUACUGACAAAAAUCCUUGAGAGGAACCAGGCUAGUGAGUACUUGAGCAAAUUCAUGAAUAGAUCCACAAACACAUCCACCUUCAAGAGAAACGUCCCAGUAGUGACAUAUGAUGUGGUCCAGCCGUACAUCACAAGGAUCUCAACUGGCGAGGAUUCUUCCAUUAUAUCUGGAGACCGAAUCGUAGAACUGCUGAGAAGCUCUGGAACUUCUCGGGGUGAGCCAAGAUUGAUGCCAGCCAUCUCCGAGGAUCUUGACCGUCGAACCUACCUUUAUAGUCUGCUAAUGCCGAUAAUGAACAAGUAUGUAUCAGGCCUUGGUGAGGGGAAGGCCAUGUAUCUUCUCUUUGUGAAAGCGGAAACACUGACGAAUUCUGGCAUUCCAGUUCGAUCAGUCCUCACUAGCUAUUACAAGAGCCCUCACUUCCUGCACCGCAAACAUGACUUGUACAACAACUACACCAGUCCUGAUGAGGUCAUCCUUUGCCCUGACAGCCAGCAGAGCAUGUACUGCCAGCUGCUCUGCGGCCUGGUUGAACGCCAGCAUGUCCUCCGUCUUGGGGCAGUCUUUGCCUCGGCGUUCCUUCGGUCUAUCAGCUUUCUUGAGCAGCACUGGUGUGACCUUGUCAAUGACAUACGUAUUGGUAAACUCAAUCCCAAUGUCACCAACACCGAGUGCCGGUUGGCCAUGGAGGGCUUUCUCGCAUUGCCCAACCCGGAGCUCGCUGAUGAGCUUGAGGAAAUCUGUGGCUGUGGGCCAUGGAAGGGGAUUCUAGGCAGGCUAUGGCCUAACGUCAAGUACAUCGAAGCUGUUCUUACAGGCACAAUGGCACAAUACAUCCCCAUGCUGGAGUUCUAUAGUGGUGGUAGGAUUCCCUUGGUAUGCACUAUGUACGCCUCGUCGGAGAGCUAUUUUGGUGUCAAUCUGAGGCCACUGUGCAAACCAACCGACGUGUCUUACACCAUCCUCCCGAACAUGGCCUACUUUGAGUUCAUUCCUUUGGAGGAUGGCCUCAGAGUGACGGAUGAUGAGGAGGUGGUGGGGAAUGACAAGCUUGUCAGCCUGGUGGAUGUCAAGGUCGGAUGCUACUAUGAGCUUGUGGUCACCACAUUUUCUGGCCUUUACAGGUAUAGGGUUGGCGAUGUGCUUCAGGUCACAGGCUUCUACAACCGUGCGCCGCAGUUCAAAUUCAUCUGCCGGAGAAACGUGAUCCUCAGCAUCGACACCGACAAGACCAACGAGGAGGAUCUCCACAACAGCGUCACGCGUGCCAAGAAGAUCCUGGAGGACAGAAACCACAUCCUCCUGGAGUACACCAGCUACCCAGACACUUCCACUGUCCCUGGCCACUAUGUGCUCUUCUGGGAGAUCAAGUCCACCUGCGAAGGCGUGCAGCCCCUCGACCCUCAGCUCCUCGAGAGCUGCUGCAUCUCCGUGGAGGAGUCGCUCGACUACAUCUACAGGCGCUGCAGGGCGCACGACAAGUCGGUAGGCCCGCUGGAGAUACGGCUGGUCGAGGCCGGCGCGUUUGAUGCUCUGAUGGAUCUGCUGGUCAGCCAGGGCAGCUCCAUCAACCAGUACAAGACCCCGAGGUGCAUCGAGUCCGGCCUCGCGCUGAAGCUGCUCAACUCCAAGGUCACUGCUUCCUUCUUCAGCCCUCGGGAUCCUGAGUGGACCAUGUAA